CCUACGGGGAGCAGCAGUCGAGAAUCAUUCACAAUGGGGGAAACCCUGAUGGUGCGACGCCGCGUGGGGGAAUGAAGGUCUUCGGAUUGUAAACCCCUGUCAUGUGGGAGCAAAGUAAAAAGAUAGUACCACAUGAGGAAGAGACGGCUAGCUCUGUGCCAGCAACCUCGGUAAUACAGAGGUCACACGCGUUGUUCGGACUCAUCGGGCGUAGAGCGUGCGUAGGCUGUGUCGUAAGUCGUUUGUGAAUGGCGCGGGCUCAACCCGCGGACGGCACAUGAUAUUGCGAGACUAGGGUAAUGGAGGGGGAACCGGAAUUCUCGGUGUAGCAGUGAAAUGCGUAGAUAUCGAGAGGAACACUCGUGGCGAAGGCGGGUUCCUGGACAUUAACUGACGCUGAGGCACGAAGGCCAGGGGAGCGAAAGGGAUUAGAUACCCGAGUAGUC
rnacentral:rRNA from 1 species